UACGUAGGGUGCAAGCGUUGUCCGGAAUUAUUGGGCGUAAAGAGCGUGUAGGCGGCCCGAUUAGUCCGCUGUGAAAGUCCAGGGCUCAACCCUGGAAUGCCGGUGGAUACUGUCGGGCUAGAGUCCGGAAGGGGCGAGUGGAAUUCCUGGUGUAGCGGUGAAAUGCGUAGAUAUCGGGAGGAACACCAAUGGCGAAGGCAGCUCGCUGGGACGUGACUGACGCUGAGGCGCGAAAGCGUGGGGAGCAAACAGG
rnacentral:rRNA from 1 species